rnacentral:rRNA from 1 species
GCCUGUUUAUCAAAAACAUAACCUUUAGCUAAACAAGUAUUAAAGGCGACGCCCUGCCCAGUGAAUAUUAAACGGCCGCGGUACCCUAACCGUGCAAAGGUAGCAUAAUCAUUUGUCUAUUAAUUGUAGACCUGUAUGAAAGGCAAAAUGAGAGCCCAACUGUCUCUUAUAACAAAUCAAUAAAACUGAUCUUCUAGUACAAAAGCUAAAAUACUGACAUAAGACCAGAAGACCCUGUGAAGCUUUAACAAACCCAUUAAAUCUAAUAAUGAUUACUUUCGGUUGGGGCGACCUUGGAAUAAAAAAGAACUUCCAAUAUAUGACUACUCAUAAAAGAGGCAAACAAGCCUACAUUAGAUCCAGCAUAGCUGAUAAUUGAAAUAAGUUACUCCAGGGAUAACAGCGCUAUCUUCUUUAAGAGCCCAUAUCAAAAAGAAGGUUUACGACCUCGAUGUUGGAUCAGGACAUCCCAGUAAUGCAUCCGUUACUAAAGGUUCGUUUGUUCAACGAUUAACAGUCCUACGUGAUCUGAGUCAAAACCGGAGAG